UACGUAGGGGGCUAGCGUCGUCCGGAAUCAUUGGGCGUAAAGCGCGUGUAGGCGGUUCGGUAAGUCCGCUGUGAAAGUCGGGGGCUCAACCCUCGAAUGCCGGUGGAUACUGUCGGACUAGAGUACGGAAGAGGCGAGUGGAAUUCCUGGUGUAGCGGUGAAAUGCGCAGAUAUCAGGAGGAACACCAAUUGCGAAGGCAGCUCGCUGGGACGUUACUGACGCUGAGACGCGAAAGCGUGGGGAGCAAACAGG
rnacentral:rRNA from 1 species